GACGAACGCUGGCGGCGCGCUUAACACAUGCAAGUCGAACGGGGUCCUUCCUUCGGGGAGGGUUCAGUGGCGAACGGGUGCGUAACACGUGAGCAACCUGCCGGGUGGUGGGGGAUAACCCAUGGAAACGUGGGCUAAUACCGCAUGAGUUCAGCCUUUCGAGUGAAGGGUUGAGGAAAGGUGCUGCAAGGCACUGCCAUCUGAGGGGCUCGCGGCGUAUCAGCUAGUUGGUGGGGAACGCUCACCAAGGCAGCGACGCGUAGCCGAUCUGAGAGGAUGAUCGGCCACAUUGGGACUGAGAUACGGCCCAGACUCCUACGGGAGGCAGCAGUGGGGAAUCUUGCGCAAUGGGCGAAAGCCUGACGCAGCGACGCCGCGUGCGGGAGGAAGCUC
rnacentral:rRNA from 1 species